rnacentral:rRNA from 1 species
AACGAACGCUGGCGGCAUGCCUAACACAUGCAAGUCGAACGAAGCCUUCGGGCUUAGUGGCGCACGGGUGCGUAACACGUGGGAAUCUGCCCUUCGGUUCGGAACAACAGUUAGAAAUGACUGCUAAUACCGGAUAAUGACGUAAGUCCAAAGAUUUAUCGCCGAAGGAUGAGCCCGCGUAGGAUUAGGUAGUUGGUGGGGUAAUGGCUCACCAAGCCGACGAUCCUUAGCUGGUCUGAGAGGAUGAUCAGCCACACUGGGACUGAGACACGGCCCAGACUCCUACGGGAGGCAGCAGUGGGGAAUAUUGGACAAUGGGCGAAAGCCUGAUCCAGCAAUGCCGCGUGAGUGAUGAAGGCCUUAGGGUUGUAAAGCUCUUUUACCAGGGAUGAUAAUGACAGUACCUGGAGAAUAAGCUCCGGCUAACUCCGUGCCAGCAGCCGCCGUAAUAC